rnacentral:rRNA from 1 species
GCAGCAGUGGGGAAUUUUGGACAAUGGGCGAAAGCCUGAUCCAGCAAUGCCGCGUGUGUGAAGAAGGCCUUCGGGUUGUAAAGCACUUUUGUCCGGAAAGAAAUCCUUGGCUCUAAUACAGUCGGGGGAUGACGGUACCGGAAGAAUAAGCACCGGCUAACUACGUGCCAGCAGCCGCGGUAAUACGUAGGGUGCGAGCGUUAAUCGGAAUUACUGGGCGUAGAGCGUGCGCAGGCGGUUUGCUAAGACCGAUGUGAAAUCCCCGGGCUCAACCUGGGAACUGCAUUGGUGACUGGCAGGCUAGAGUAUGGCAGAGGGGGGUAGAAUUCCACGUGUAGCAGUGAAAUGCGUAGAGAUGUGGAGGAAUACCGAUGGCGAAGGCAGCCCCCUGGGCCAAUACUGACGCUCAUGCACGAAAGCGUGGGGAGCAAACAGGAUUAGAUACCCUGGUAGUCCACGCCCUAAACGAUGUCAACUAGUUGUUGGGGAUUCAUUUCCUUAGUAACGUAGCUAACGCGUGAAGUUGACCGCCUGGGGAGUACGGUCGCAAGAUUAAAACUCAAAGGAAUUGACGGGGACCCGCACAAGCGGUGGAUGAUGUGGAUUAAUUCGAUGCAACGCGAAAAACCUUACCUACCCUUGACAUGGUCGGAAUCCCGCUGAGAGGUGGGAGUGCUCGAAAGAGAACCGGCGCACAGGUGCUGCAUGGCUGUCGUCAGCUCGUGUCGUGAGAUGUUGGGUUAAGUCCCGCAACGAGCGCAACCCUUGUCCUUAGUUGCUACGCAAGAGCACUCUAAGGAGACUGCCGGUGACAAACCGGAGGAAGGUGGGGAUGACGUCAAGUCCUCAUGGCCCUUAUGGGUAGGGCUUCACACGUCAUACAAUGGUCGGAACAGAGGGUUGCCAACCCGCGAGGGGGAGCUAAUCCCAGAAAACCGAUCGUAGUCCGGAUUGCACUCUGCAACUCGAGUGCAUGAAGCUGGAAUCGCUAGUAAUCGCGGAUCAGCAUGCCG